GGCUACUCAUGACGAGGCAAUGGCCGAUUUGCGGAAUACAAAUGCCUUACUUGAGGAAGAAUUAAAGAAUGUACAGAGACAGCUGCAAGAAUUAAUGAGAGAGAUGCAAGACUUAAAGAAAGAAAAUGCCGAACUGAAG